UUAAAAAGAUUAUGUGCUCUAUUUCCAGACUAUCAGAAUCAUGCUCGCACGUUGGAGCUGUUCUUUUUGCAGUUGAAGCUGGGGUGAAAAUGAGAGCGACAUGCACAUCAGAGCAGUGCAAGUGGCUGAUGCCAUCUCAUGUUAAAAAGAUUCCUGCUUGCCCAGUAACUCUGAUUGACUUCUCUUCAGCAAAGUCAAAAAAACGAAAGCUUGAGUGUUCCAUUGAUGGCUGCACAAGUACACAAAAGUUAUGGAUGCAAACAUGAAGCACAAGCCAGAGGAGCAUAUGAGAAGCUUAUGAGCCAGGAGCAUGCAGGCUUCUCAUGUAUGGACAGCGGUCUCUGGCUGAACCCCAAGUGGCCAUACAUGGGGUCCUCCCCUGAUGGGAUAGUCACUUGUGACUGUCAUGGAACUGGCAUCUGCGAGAUUAAGUGCCCACACUCUCAGAAAGAUGCGGUCAACCUGCGCAUGCGUGCUGGGGAGAAGGGCUUCUGCCUCAUCAGUGACGGGGAUAAUGUCACACUGGACCCAACUCAUGACUACUAUUACCAAAUUCAGGCACAGCUUCACAUUGCAAAUGCAGAGUACUGUGACUUUGUUGUGUGGAACCGCAAUGACAUAUUUGUUGAAAGGAUUUUGCCUGACCUUGAGUUUUGGGAUGAUGCGAUUCCUAAAGUUGAGUGUUUUUUUAGAAACAGUAUACUCCCAGAAAUACUGGGACAGCAAGUUACAAACAUACAUGUGUAAUGUGAUAAAAGGACGACAACAUAAUGACAUUUUGAAUAUUGUUAUGACCUGAUGGUAGUCAUUAUGAGUUCUGGCUAUUGUAUUUGCUCUGACGUAGCAUUAGAG